rfam:Myotis davidii contig322954, whole genome shotgun sequence.
GGCAGUUCUCAGGUAAUGCACCCUGAAAUCGGGCUCCCUCCUCUCUGGUUCUGGGGUGCGUCACCCAAGAACCACC